rnacentral:rRNA from 1 species
AGACCCCUUGCAGACUACAAGGUUGAUAGGUCAUGGGUGGAAGUGCAGUAAUGCAUGCAGCUGAAUGAUACUAAUCGGUCGAGGGCUUGUACUG